GCGGACGUGGUGGAAUUGGUAGACACGCUAGAUUUAGGAUCUAGUGAGAUAACCUCGUGAGAGUUCGAGUCUCUCCGUCCGCA
rnacentral:tRNA from 1 species